rnacentral:rRNA from 1 species
AAUGAACGCUGGCGGCAUGCCUAACACAUGCAAGUCGAACGAGACCUUCGGGUCUAGUGGCGCACGGGUGCGUAACGCGUGGGAAUCUGCCCUUGGGUUCGGAAUAACAGUUAGAAAUGACUGCUAAUACCGGAUGAUGUCGUAAGACCAAAGAUUUAUCGCCCAAGGAUGAGCCCGCGUAGGAUUAGCUAGUUGGUGAGGUAAAAGCUCACCAAGGCGACGAUCCUUAGCUGGUCUGAGAGGAUGAUCAGCCACACUGGGACUGAGACACGGCCCAGACUCCUACGGGAGGCAGCAGUGGGGAAUAUUGGACAAUGAGCGAAAGCCUGAUCCAGCAAUGCCGCGUGAGUGAUGAAGGCCUUAGGGUUGUAAAGCUCUUUUACCCGGGAUGAUAAUGACAGUACCGGGAGAAUAAGCUCCGGCUAACUACGUGCCAGCAGCCGCGGUAACAC